GUUCCCACAUUAGGGAGUGUUGUCUAGACGUGGCUGGGGACGCCGGGGUGGUCGACGUAGAGUGAGGGGAGACGCCUUGACCACGUGGGGGCAGCCACGAGGGGCCACAACAAAGACGGAGACGAGAUGUUUGUCUACCAAAUCUGCAAUUUCAUCGUUUACAAGUAGAGAUUCUGGUGGUCGUGUGCCUAUUUCAUACAAGUCUAGAUGUCUACCCUCGUGCGUGUGACAGCAGGGCGUUCACCCGUCCCCCGGGACUCUAGACACACACUAUAUCCCACUCACGCCCACCCCCGGUAGCGACCACAAACAUGCAUGGCGGUAAGGAAGCAGGCUGUUGGGGAACGAAGUAACUAAAUUAACCUGACUGAAUUCCACCCAUUACUUUGAAAACUGUAUUAUUUACUUGGCGAUUACCUCAUGCUGAAAGCAUUUUCGAGUCAGAAAUUAGCGAAAUAUUCAGUCUAAUUAGGUUGUUUUGGCCGAAGAAUAGCAGUUAUUUAACGGGGUUAUCAUUGAGCAUCUGUAUCUCGGUACGCUCCCCGCAGUGAGUCGGGAGAUGCAUGUAUUGCACUUGUAGGCUCAGCUGCGACGCGUGGAGCCCAGCGAGCCCUGAUACAAAGACUGAAUAUUACCACCCACAAAUUGAUUUAAUUUUAAAAAUUCCAUGUCAGUUGCAGAUCCUGUUGCGAGGUUCGACACAUGUGCAGCCACGCCAUGUACAUGACGUCACCGAACGCUGCCAUCAAUGUCCCACUUCACAGCGCCUCCUAGCCUUGCUCCAAGGCUGUACUGAAUGAUAAGUCCAUGGGUGUAAUGUAAUUCUAUCCUUAUAUGGGGCCAGUCUAGAUAAGCGGACAGUCUAAAGAUGCCGGUCUCUUAUAGGGACAACUUGUUCAGCACAUCUUAUUAUUUAUAUAAUCUAGAAAUAAUGAUUUAAAUUAAUAAUUAGAGACUUGCACAAGUCUAAGCGUCUCCCUUCAAGUCAGGCUGUUGACAGUAUACAUUAUGAACUCAAUUUUUUAUGGGAUUAAACUUAAUUUCCAAAAGAUUAAAGAGUGUGAGAAAUGUCAAAGACGAAAUAAAAGAAUGC